rnacentral:rRNA from 1 species
UACGUAGGGAGCAAGCGUUGUCCGGAUUUAUUGGGCGUAAAGAGCUCGUAGGCGGCUUAGAAAGUCAGGUGUGAAACCUCCAGGCUCAACCUGGAGACGCCACUUGAUACUUCUAUGGCUUGAGUUCGGUAGGGGAACACGGAAUUCCUGGUGUAGCGGUGAAAUGCACAGAUAUCAGGAGGAACACCGAUGGCGAAGGCAGUGUUCUGGGCCGAUACUGACGCUGAGGAGCGAAAGCGUGGGGAGCGAACAGG